rnacentral:lncRNA from 1 species
AGGGUGUGCGGGCGCUCAGGAGAAUGACAGAGGUCGGUGCAAGUUGGCUGUGACUGCCUAUCACAGCGUCAGCUACGCCCCAUCCGUAAGUGGUCGUUUUGGUGGGAGGGUGCAGGAGGGAGGAGAGCGGGAGGGAAGAAAGAGCCUGCGAUGCCCGAGGCACCCACAGGAGAGUUAGCCCAGCUCUGUGUGUUCUGUAGCUCUGCUUCAAACUCGGUGCUCAAUACUGAAAUACGCUAGCAGCACCUAUAAUCGUCCUGUUGAGAAAGUGGUUGCUCCAUUAUUUCGGAACAGGCAAAGCGCUUCACCUAAACUUGCUCUGGCUCUUUGACACACACCACCUCCAACCAUCAACAGAUGCUGCGUGAUUUACCCCCUCAGACCCAGAAUCCUGACCACUUCGCUGUUGUGACUCUUAAGUGAGGGGUCAGGCCACCAGCAUCCCUACCUGGGUUAUCUAUCGACUUGUGGAGUUUAUUCUUAUAUUUGAAGGAAGUGGAUAAUGCUAGUGUAUGUUGUCCUCAUAGGAGGGGAACCUUCACAUUUUAAGACCCAAUUCCUUAUUCUUUUCUCUCUCUCUCUUUUUCUUUCUUUCCUUCUUCCUUCCUUUUUUUUUUUUUUAAGAUUUAUUUAUUAUAUAGCGUUCUGCCUGCAUGUAUGCCUACAGGCCCAAAGAGGGCACCAGAUUUCAUUAUAAAUAGUUAUAAAGCCACCAUGUAAUUGAACUCAGGACCUCUAGAAGAGCAGACAGUUCUUUUAACCUCUGAGCCAUCUCUCCAGCCCCCUUAUUCCACUUCCUAACAUAAUGUCCUCACUAUUGGUAAUUAACUUCCUCAAACCGUAUCAUUUAAUGAAUCUACAGUGCCCCCAGCUGUGAAGUUUCAGUGUGAUUUUAUGUGAAAAUUAUAUGUAAAAGAUGGAAUAACUAUAAAAGGCAGAGCUUUAAAAGUAACAUGUAAUCCCUUGUACUUUUGUAAGUGUGUGUGUGUGUAUUUUUACACAGGUAGAUCAUACUGUCCUCGAACUGCUGGGUGCUGAAAUCACACCAGAGGGCCACCAUGUCUGUGGAGUUAAAUGCUUCCCUUAAAAAUAAUCUAGUUUGAAUUAGAGAUUUAGCUCAGUUAUAAAGCACAUUCCUUGCUUGUAUGAGGCCCUGGAUUCAACACCCAUCUCAGCAAUUACAACCUCGUUCCGUUUCAGGAACAAGAUCACCAAGACUUGUAUUCUUUGUGGUUGUGAACCAAUUAUUUAGCCACAUUGAGCCUCAGUUUUCCCUGCUGGAAAGUGGAACUAAUACUUCUUAUCUACUGGGCUGCUCCUAAGCUAGGUGAGUACUAGGAGACUGCAGGUCAGUCUGAUUCAUCUCGGGCUUGACUAAUCUUCUAAGAGGCGCACUUAGUUGGCUCACUCAUUUGUGCCUCGGAUCCUCCCACGUGGCCAUCUCUACAGAGCUUCUUGAGUGUUCUCAUAUAUGACCACUGACUUCACUCAAUUCAUUCAUACUACCAACUGUAGAGUGCACUGUAUAGUGUGACCAAAAAGUCACCCUAAGCCAGGCGCAGGUGGCACUCAAGAGGCAGAGGCAGGUGGAUCUCUAUGAGUUCAAGGUCAGCCUGAUCUACAAAGUGAGCUCCAGGAUAGCUGAGACUACAUAGAGAAACCCUGCCUCCAGAAAAGCCAAAAACAAAGUCACUCUAAUAUAUCCUAUUAAAAACUAUUACACAAACUGCUCAACAAAAUUGACUAGGAGCAGGUCAUCUUGGAGAAUACUACACGAUUAUAUGAGGGUUUGUCUCAUAACUGGAGAAUCACAGGUUCAAGGCUAGCGUGGACUACAUGGUGAGUUCCAUGCCAGCCUGAGGUGGCGGGUGACCUGAUCUCAGGGAGAG